rnacentral:rRNA from 1 species
AGAGUUUGAUCCUGGCUCAGGACGAACGCUGGCGGCGUGCCUAAAACAUGCAAGUCGAACGAGGUAGCAAUACCUAGUGGCGAACGGCGGAGUAAUACAUGACCAACGUGCCCUAAAGUCCGGGACAAACGCAGAAAUGCCAUAAAUACCGGAUGUGGCCGUGAGGGGACAUCCCCUUACGAUUAAAGGUUUUUCGCUUUAGGAGCGGGUCAUGGCCUAUCAGGUAGUUGGUGAGGUAACGGCUCACCAAGCCGACGACGGGUAGCGGGUCUGAGAGGAUGAUCCGCUCGAGUGGGACUGAGACACGGCCCACACACCUACGGGUGGCAGCAGUUGGGAAUCUUGCACAAUGGGGGAAACCCUGAUGCAGCGACGCCGCGUGGAGGAUGACGGAUCUAGGUCUGUAAACUCCUUUUUCACGGAAAGACUUAGGACGGUACCGUGAGAAUAAGGACCGGCUAACUACGUGCCAGCAGCCGCGGUAAGACGUAGGGUCCAAGCGUUGUCCGGAUUUACU